rnacentral:rRNA from 1 species
GAUCCUGGCUCAGGAUGAACGCUAGCUACAGGCUUAACACAUGCAAGUCGAGGGGCAGCAUGAACUUAGCUUGCUAAGUUUGAUGGCGACCGGCGCACGGGUGAGUAACGCGUAUCCAACCUGCCCUUUACUCGGGGGAUAGCCUUCUGAAAGGAAGUUUAAUACCCGAUGAAUUCGUUUAGUCGCAUGGCUUGAUGAAGAAAGAUUUAUCAGUAAAGGAUGGGGAUGCGUCCCAUUAG